CCCCCUCUCUCUCUCUCUCUAAAGUCAAACCUCUACAUCUCUCCAAUCUCUCUCUAAUCCCACCCACCCAGAUCCGGUGAUCCAAAACAUAAUCCAAAUCCUAGGUGGACGCAUACGAUUGGCCUCCCUGAUUGGACGACCAAGAUGGGUGGUAAAGAAGAUGGUAGUGCUGAUUGGGUUGUCGAAUAACAAAGGAUGAUGAAUGGUGGUGGUAUCACGGUGAUAAGGAUGAUGAUGGGCCGAGAUGGUGUAUCUGAUGACAGUGGAGCCAGAGGUGGUUAACGAUGUUGAUGAUGUUGAUUGUGGUUGACGAAAGGUGCUAGUGGUGAUGAUUGGAAUUGUACCAGUGAUCUCAGUCAACUCAGAUUCCGGCGACAAAGAUGUUCCCAAUUACCAACCACGGGGCGUGGAACACGUUUCUCCCAAUUCGGAACAAAGACAUAUAUUCUAACAUCAUCAUCUUUGCUGACUCCAGCAGAGGCCAUGUUAUUUGACACAGUUGACAUUGUGUAUAACUUUUACAAAACUUAUGCAGAUGCUGGAGGUUGGACAGUUAGGAAGGGUACAUAACAUGAAAAUCGUGGUAUUAUAAUAAGUAAGUAUUUUGUGUGUUCAAAAGAGGGCCAUAAAGUGUUUCGACCGGUGGAUACUUUAGCCGAAGAGCCUUCUAAAAGGUGGGUACGUAGAGUACCCUCCAAAAGGACUGGAUGCCAAGCGAUGAUCAGAAUAAAGCUGAAUGAUGCUAAGAAGUAUAAGCUAUAUCAUUUCACAGAGGCGCACAACCAUGAUUUCGAGCAUGAAGAAGAUUUAAAAUUACUCAAGUAAAACCGAGGGGUUAAUUGUGCGCACGAAGAUAUGAUAAAUAAGAUGUCAAAGCUCAACAUUGGUCCUGUUCGGACAUUUAAUAUUAUGAAGGAGGUGUGUGGCGGGUUCGAUAAAGUUGGUGCGACCAAAGUUGAUUUCAAAAAUUAAAAAAAAACAUUUAAUUUGUUCAUUGGAGAGUUUGAUGCUGAAAUGUUUGUCAAGCGACUAACCACGAAAAAAGAGUUUUUACCGAAUUUUUCUUGCGAAUAUCAAACGACGGACAAAGGUGUGUUGAAGUGUAUUUUCUAGGCUGAAGAUGACAUGAAGAGGUAUAACAUGACGUUUGUCCCUUUUACUGGUAUUGAUAAUCACAAUAGGAACGUGACACUUGGUGCUGCCAUUCUUGGUUCUGAAACGAUGCAGACGUAUAGUUGGUUACUUAAGGUGUUUAAGGACGCAUAUGGAUACGUACCCCACGUAAUCGUCAAUAAUAAGACUCUACGAUGAAAAGGGCUAUUGUGGAUGUUUGGCCUGAGUCGAGGCAUCGGUUAUGUAUGUGGCACAUAAUGGAUAAACUUACUACAAAGGUCUGGUGUUUUUGUCUUUUUCUGUGAGUUUUUUUAGAUGUUUUUUUUGUGUUAUUUAAUUUUUUUUACCCUACAUGGAAUUUGUUGC